rnacentral:tRNA from 1 species
GCGGGUGUAACUCAGUUGGUAGAGUACAAGCUUCCCAAGCUUGGAGUCGCGAGUUCGAAUCUCGUCACCCGCU